rnacentral:lncRNA from 1 species
CGGCAGAAUUGUAGGAGGACAAACCUGGAGGCUCAUCCCUUCCAACUUCGGCCUCAUCUCUUCUUUGACGUUGUUCUGGAAGGAGUCGAGAUGGCUGCCUUGCACACCACGGGGCUCCAAGCGACCUUGUAGCUCAACAGUUUCCAU